rnacentral:pre_miRNA from 15 species
GCUCCUGAUUGUCCAAACGCAAUUCUCGUGGCUCCGGCCCUCGAGAGUUGGGUCUGGACAUCCCGAGCC